GGCGGGGUGUAUGAUGUGGAAUCUCGCUGGGUGGAUUGGGUGGCUUGCAUUGGGGAUUCAGACCACUGGCUCUUGCUUAUUACAGGUUCAUCAAGUAAGUAAUAUAGUGGAAAAUUUCAACUGCUACACAUCCCGCUGGAAUGGCAUGAUAAUCAUCAUCAUAAAAACUGUGGGUAAGUAAUAAAAGUAAUGCCAAAACAACCAAGCAGAUUACUAUUCAUAUAGGGAAAGGUGGCAAUAUUGAAGGUUCGCGCCGUCAAAAGGUUAAUAUCCACUUUCUGUACGGCCCUGGCACUGUACGGGAAAAAUCACCGAACAGGCCCUUAGCUACGGAGUACUCCGUAGUGUUAUUUUAUUACCUUUUUGGCAGAAUAUAGCUAGCUACAACUCUUCCUCCCCGUCCAAAAGCUAGCAUACCCAGGUUCCCAAAAUAGCUAGUGAACCAACCACCCGACGUUUUCGGCCGGAAAAAAACCCUCCGAA
rnacentral:sRNA from 1 species